GUUAAAACACCAAUUCCUGUAUGAUCACUGAAGUUAAGCAACAUUGAGCCUGAUCAGUAACUUGAUGGGUGACUACCUGGAAUACCAGGUGCUGUAAG